UACAGAGGGUGCAAGCGUUAAUCGGAAUUACUGGGCGUAAAGCGUGCGUAGUCGGUUAUCUAAGUCGGGUGUGAAAUCCCCGGGCUCAACCUGGGAAUUGCGCUCGAAACUACUUGGCUGGAGUAUGGCAGAGGAAGGUGGAAUUCCACGUGUAGCGGUGAAAUGCGUAGAGAUGUGGAGGAACACCGAUGGCGAAGGCAGCCUUCUGGGCCAAUACUGACGCUCAUGCACGAAAGCGUGGGGAGCAAACAGG
rnacentral:rRNA from 1 species